GUCUCCCUUUGGGGACAUCUGAUCAAAUUGGAAUGAUACAGAGAAGAUUCUUAUGGCCCUGCACAAGGAUCUCACACAAAUUGAGAAAUGUUCCAAUUUUUU